rnacentral:lncRNA from 1 species
UUAUUUUAUUUUUUCUUUAACUUAAACUCUGACUUCAUCUUCUCCGAGACUCCCUUGCUCUCUACAGAGGAAAAUUCUACAAUUCUUAUAAAGGUGGAUCUGCCAUGGGUAUUCUGUUCAUGAUUUUUAUAAGCAUCGGAUUCAUACAAACAAUUUUUUUACUUUGGAUCGAUAACCUGAUACGAGGGAGAGAGAUUGUGGUUUGUAUUGAACCUAUAAACAAAGAUACCCAAAUCUGGCCUGUUUAAUGGGAACCCUGUUAUGAAGUUUAAUUAGAAAGAUUCGGGCUUUGAUGUUUGAAUUGAAGAAAGAUUGUGGGGAUUGAAAUUUGAUGAAAAAAGAUUGUGGAAAUUGAAGUUCGAAACAUGAAUUUUAUCCAAAGUGAAAAAAUUGUUUGUAUGGAUCAUGUUUUCUAUGGUGAUGUUUUUAGGUUCCAUUGUUUAAUCCUGAACUUGAAGAGUCUGUUCUGGAUGGGAGGUUGAAGCGCAGGAAGAUGAAAAUCUUUAAUUACUAUUUUUUAAUUAAAUCCAAAUAAUAAUAAAUAAUAAGUAAUAAAUAUAAUGAAGGAUGGUGGAAACCGGUUGCAAGUCAAGGUGUUAAAAAACUGGAUGACAUGGCAAAUUGUGAGUGGAGUGUGUUAGAGGAGUGUGUUAGAGGGUAUGACCCUAG